rnacentral:piRNA from 1 species
UCCUCAGGCCUUACUCAACAUACAAUAAU